rfam:Dipodomys ordii contig_62016, whole genome shotgun sequence.
GGGAACGUGGCUCAGUGGUGGAGUGCUUGCCUUGCAUGCAUGAGGCCCUGGGUUCAAUUCCUCAGCAUCACUU